GUUUACGAUGUUUACGUAGCUGCCGCGGCGAUCGACAUCCGGCCUACCACAAAGGGUACUGUCGGCGGUGGAAACGCGACCUCGGAACUGAGCUGGGCUAUACCGCCCCCUCCCUACCGCCCCUUUGCGAUCCGAUCCGUUCCGCACCCUGCAGUGGAAACGCGGCGACUGGAGAACGGACCCCGCUAGGAAAAUAGAGCCCAAACUGUCGGGUAAACGUUGACCUGUUAUCAGCCACUGGUAGCCUACUCCACUGGUAUGCAACGCUUAAAAUGAUAGCAGGUCCGACCCAAUGAUCUAUAAACAAAUAGAUAUUUGUCACUUCCAGCAUCUUGUUUCAAGCCUCAUCUUCGUGCAUGGAUGCAUAUGAACAAAAGCUCCGAGCCGUGAGAUCGAUGGAGGAACAAGGUGCCGAGUAUACCAUGAAGGGACAGGAACACCGAUGUAGCCGCUGGAGGCUGGGGGUGGCUUUUACCAUGCCGUGUCUAUUGGUGAUCGCAUGUACGGCCUUUUCCUUUCACACUUGCCACACCAUAACCUCGCUCUUGAACGUGGAAAAAGCAUAUGAUGGCAUCUUCAUACAAUUUCAUCCCAUCUCAGAUAUCUCAGACAAGGAGACACUCAAGUUCAUGAACUACACAAACAAAAGUGUGGAUCUGGUGGACAACAAAGAGAUCGUCAUCUCUUGCAACGGCCCGUACAUCCUACACAUGUACGUGUGCCCCAGGGGUUUUAACAACGAACCCGGACAGGGCCACCUGGAGCUACGCCUGGCCCCGGAGCAGCAAGCGAUCACUAACUUCACCCUUGAGAGCAGAGGGGGCAUCGACUGCAAGGGCCUACAAACCACUGUCUACCUGCGGAGGGAGCAGAGACUGAACCUCUACUUCUCCUCCAAGAACCGAACCCUCAAGAUUAAGAAUGUCAUCCUCGGCCUCCGCUACCUGUUGGGGCAGUGCCAGUACUGAAAGAGAGAGGCUGGGUAGAAGUACAUUACAAAGACCGGUUCAGUCUUCUGAUCCAACCUGAACAACAGGGCUCGAACUCAAGGAAUAUACCUUGUUGUUGGUUCUGAAGACUAGGCCUACUGUUCAGAACAGGAUUGACAGCGCUAUUGCCUGAAUGUAUUUUCUCGCGGUUGAAUGUGUAUGCAUUUCGCUCUAAGCUAUUUUAGUAUUUUUACUUUUACUGGUAUUCUUUUUAAUGUUGGUAUUAUUAUUACUAAUUUGUAAUUGUUCUGACUCAGGGCUGCUGAAGUCACAUAAGUAUGUCCAACCUAAGAUCAAGUGACAGUGGCUACUGUGUAUAUAUUGGAAAAGUAAACAAAGUUCGAACUAGAGUAGAACUAAGUAGAGAGUAGUAGACUUUACUUCUAUAUAUAUAUAUUCUCCCUUAUAAUUCUGUUAUUUUCACAUAAUUUCAGAGAACUGAAUUGUUUUAAUUUAAUCUAUUAAUAAAAUUUGUUAUUAUCUCAUAUUGUAUAAUGCAAUUGCACUUUUAUUGUGUAUCCUAAUAAAAGGGUAAAAUAUUUU
ensembl:lncRNA